GUCUAAAUAAGCAUGGCUGCUGUAGACGAAAUUAAACGACUUGAAUGUUUAUAAGGUGUGCACGGAGCUGGAGAAUCAUCUGGGUAUCAUCGAAAAAGAUUCGGCUGAAUUUAUCAUCAGUCUUGUUGAAAAAUAUCCAACAUUUGAGGAGUUUAAAAAAGUCUGGUCUGAAAAUGGAGCAGAGUUUACAGACGCACUUACUUACUGGAGUUAUUCACACCAUCUGACCCAAACCAUCCAUAAGUGAAGCUCAACAGAAAGAAGUCAAAUCCCCGAGUGAAAAAGACAAGAUAAAGGAUGAAUAUCCUGCUUUAUGUAAAGCAGAUGAUCCUGUGUGGACGAUCCCAUUGUAUCAACCAGAUAAAAUGAUGAGCAGGUCGCAGCAGCCAUGAAGGAGCUGGUGAUGCUUCUGCCAAACUUCAGUGGGACAAACUCUGAAAAAAGUCAGCCCAGCCUUCACAAAGUGACAGAGUUAUAGAAAGUCAAAGUGGAUGCAAGCAAAUCCCUUCCAGAUCCAGAGAUGGUGACAGAGAAGCAAACCCCAAGUGUAGAAGGAAGCAGGCGUCAAGCUGGAGUGACCAUCCACCAAGCCGCAACAGAGCCGUCAACAGCAACAACAAUAAGGACGACGGAGACUCAGAUCAACGGCAGGAGGAUUGACCACCCCCAGAAGAGCCCGUUGUGGGCGACAUCUACAACGGCAGAAGCAGCAGCCUUAUGCAGUUUGGCUGUUUUGUUCAGCUAGAGGGUCUUAGAAAACACUGGGAAGGCCUCGUACACAUCUCAGAGCUGCGUAGAGAGGGAUGUAUUUAUUGUCUGCCCUAAUUGGUGGAACUAAUCCAGAAGGCCCCCUCUCUCCCAGGCAGCCAUGAGGCAGAGCGCUCUCUCUAAGGAGAGGAGGGAGCUGAAGCAGGCGGCUCGUGCUGCAAAGUUGGACUCCAUCCCAACCGGGCUCAACAAGCACUGGAUAGACCCCAUACCUGACUAUGAAGGAAGGCAGAUCGCUGCCAACAUGAGAGGCAGUGGAGCGACGCCCCUCGAUCUUCCAGAGUGGAAAAGAUCCACCUUUGGAGGGAGCCAGGUGUCAUAUGGGAGGAAGACAGAAAUGUCCAUACUGCAGCAGAGAGAGAGCCUGCCUAUAUUUAAGCUUAAGGAACAGCUUGUUCAGGCUGUUCAUGACAACCAGAUCCUAAUUGUGGUUGGAGAAACCGGCUCUGGUAAGACCACACAGAUCACUCAAUACAUGGCAGAGGCUGGCUACACUGCCGGGGGAAGGUCGGCUAUACGCAGCCUUGACGUGUAGCAGCUAUGUCAAAUCGCCAAGAGAGUCUCUGAGCAGUACGGCUGCUGCCUGGGUCAAGAGGCGAUGGGCAUCAACGACCUUCUUGCAUUCGACUUCAUGGACGCUCCUCCCAGUGAGACUCUGAUAACAGCCAUGGAGCAGCUCAACUCACUGGGAGCUCUGGAUGAUGAAGGCUUACUCACACGGCUUGGGAGAACGAUAGCUGAGUUUCCUCUGGAGCCGAUGUGUAAAAUGCUGAUCAUGUCCGUCCAUCUGGGCUGCAGUGAAGAGAUGCUCACCAUCCUGUCAAUGCUGUCUGUGCAGAACGUCUUCUACAGACCAAAGGACAAACAGGCCCUCGCUGACCAAAAAAGACCAAGUUCUUCCAGCCUGAAGGAGACCACCUCACACUGCUGGCUGUCUACAACUCCUGGAAGAACAACAAGUUUUCCAACCCCUGGUGUUUUGAGAACUUUAUUCAAGCGUGAUCGCUGCAGAGGGCUCAGGACAUCCGAAAACAGAUGCUGAGCAUC